rnacentral:rRNA from 1 species
AUACGGAGGGUGCAAGCGUUAUUCGGAAUCACUGGGCGUAAAGGACGCGUAGGCGGGUUGGCAAGUCAGAUGUGAAAUUCUACAGCUUAACUGUAGAACUGCAUUUGAAACUGCUAACCUAGAGUAUGGGAGGGGGAGAUGGAAUUAGUGGUGUAGGGGUAAAAUCCGUAGAUAUCACUAGGAAUACCGAAAGCGAAGGCGAUCUCCUGGAACAUAACUGACGCUAAGGCGUGAAAGCGUGGGGAGCAAACAGGAAUAGAAACCCUAGUAGUCC